AAAUACGAAGCAAAUCAAUGUUCCAAGAACCAUUAAGAAGAACCCAAUCCCUCAAAGUGCUCUACAAAUCAAGGCUUGCAUGCGUUAGAAUGUAAGAAAAAAGAGGGCCAACCUCUGGUACCCAAGAAUCUUUCCAACCACAAAUUGUAGAGUCAUCACCUACCGACCACAUGAUAUUCUCACAAAAAAGGGGUCACACCUUAGAAAGGGAACGCCAAAGAUGAGAGCAUUGAUUUCUAUGAAUAGAAUCUGGAAGCUGAUUCUUCCAACCAUAUUUCGAACGAAGGAUACGA
rnacentral:lncRNA from 1 species